AAUAAUAAAAGCGAAGCCGCGAAACUCGAUCGAGCGAGAUAGGGGAAAUUAUAAUAAAGGAGACUAUCUCGUAAAAUGCUCUUUCGAGAGAAUAAAGCGAUAGCAAACGUGUUCUGAAACGCGGUAGGCGCCUAAUACGCGCGAGUCCGUAUACACGAGCUAAUCGCAUAAAUAAACCGAAGGGUUGUACGAUCCGUUGAUAGAGUGAUGCUCUCGUAGCUGCUACGGCAGUACCUAAAGGCUCUUAGCGAGACUGGAGAAAGGCCGAGACUAUAGAGUAUCCGGACUAGCCUGAUUUUCGUGACGCGGGUGCGCUGUGUUCAGUUGGAGCCAGCCCCUGAGUAAAAUGUCGCGAUUAGAGGGUAUGUGGUUGGUGGAGCCGCCAUUUAGUCUGGAGAAAUAUGGUUGCGUCAGUUGUACGGAGCUAUUCUCUAUAUAAGGAUCGGACCAUUUCGGUUCUAUAUCAGACGUCACGGGACUAUGCGAAUGAGUAAAUUAUGCGGAGUGGGCGGAAAGUAUCCCUCUAUUGCAUUCGCGAAGGGUCCUUCGUUGGGUACCUAUCGAAUGGUAACGCUACAGUUCCGUCUGACUGUAUCGAGACGCGUUACAUUCGGAAUCCCUACUCGGAAUAAUAGUAAGGCGAGGUUUAAAGAGGCGUUGGUUCCAUUAACUUGGCACGCGAGUGUCAAGGGGAAUUAUAUAAGGAACAACCGUGGAAAUUAGAGCCUAAGACGAAAGGAUAUGUGGGGCGGUAUAUAUGAGAGGGAAAUGAGCUCGUACGACCGUUACCUACCGUUCCUGGAGUUGGAGGAUAUGUGGGGCGACUACGGAAGGAAAUGAAUUCGUACGACCGUUACCUACCCGUUCCUGGAGUUGGAGGAUAUGUGGGGCGACUACGGAAGGAAAUGAAUUCGUAGAUGUAACCUACCGUUCUUCUCUUGGCUCAAACGGUUCAGGACGACUAAAACGUCCGGACGUCCGCCCAAUACUAAACCAACACGUUGAAACUAAAUAAAGAGAGACUAUGAUCGUAUAGACUAUCGAAAAACGAAUCCUAGAGAUUCCGUUCUAAGCGGUGGAUCACUAGGCUCGCGGGUCGAUGAAGAACGGGGCCAGCCCCGAGAAUAAGUGCGAAUUGCAGACACAAAGAGCAUCGACUUUUCGAACGCACAUUGCGGUAUCGGGCCUGCUCGAUACCACGCCUAUCUGAGGGUCGAAUAAGCAAUUGAUCGAAAUCGUUAUAUACGGUAGUGUCCAUGGUAGGAAAAUUACCCUCUGGAUUCGUAAAUUAUGACCGUAUGAGCAAAUGACUUGAGACUGCUGCGUCAGUCGUUAAGUCUAAAGAUACUAUAGUAAAUAACCGAAUAAGCGUGGUGUGGAAAUUAUAAGACACCGCCGUUUCGGAUAGUAUCAGAAGCAUUCGAACGGCUAUAUAGUCGCUUAGUAAGUCGCACGCCUCGCGGAAAUAUAUAUUCGAGACGAUUCCCUUCGAAAGUGGUAGUAAAUUAUAAUGUACCACUUAGAGAGGGAAGGAAAUUAUAUAUCGUUCUCGAGUAUGAGCGCGUGUCGAUUACUGGAAAUAGAGCGAUAGGAAAUACGGGUAUAGUCGAAUGAAUGCAUUCUCACGGAAGGACUCCGUAAAUAUGCUGACGUAGCUGCGAUCGAACCGAAGGGAAAUAAACGGUUACGAGAGCGUGAAUAUAUAGUUGCGUUAGUAGAGUCCUUAUACGUGUAUGUUCAAGUUUUGACCUCAGAUUAGACGUGAAUACCCGCUGAACUUAAGCAUAU
rnacentral:misc_RNA from 1 species